rnacentral:rRNA from 1 species
AUUGAACGCUGGCGGCAUGCCUUACACAUGCAAGUCGAACGGCAGCACGGACUUCGGUCUGGUGGCGAGUGGCGAACGGGUGAGUAAUGUAUCGGAACGUACCUUUCAGUGGGGGAUAACGUAGCGAAAGUUACGCUAAUACCGCAUAUUCUGUGAGCAGGAAAGCAGGGGAUCGCAAGACCUUGCGCUGAUUGAGCGGCCGAUAUCAGAUUAGCUAGUUGGUGGGGUAAAGGCCUACCAAGGCGACGAUCUGUAGCGGGUCUGAGAGGAUGAUCCGCCACACUGGAACUGAGACACGGUCCAGACUCCUACGGGAGGCAGCAGUGGGGAAUUUUGGACAAUGGGGGCAACCCUGAUCCAGCCAUGCCGCGUGAGUGAAGAAGGCCUCGG